rnacentral:rRNA from 1 species
GAUCAUGGCUCAGGAUGAACGCUAGCGGCAGGCUUAACACAUGCAAGUCGAGGGGCAGCAUAAUGGGUAGCAAUAUCUAUGGUGGCGACCGGCGCACGGGUGCGUAACGCGUAUGCAACCUACCUUUAACAGGGGGAUAACACUGAGAAAUUGGUACUAAUACCCCAUAAUAUCAUAGAGGGCAUCUUUUAUGGUUGAAAAUUCCGAUGGUUAGAGAUGGGCAUGCGUUGUAUUAG